AUGUGAGGUUGCAGUUAUAAGUCCCUGUAAGUUGGCAUCUGCUUUCCUGUGAUCAUAAUUUGAUCUGUUUGAUUUGUAUGUGAGGUUGCAAUUAUAAGUCCCUGUAAGUUGGCAUUUGCUUUCCUAUGAUCAUAUUGUUGCUUUUGUUCUUGUAUGUGAGGAUCCAUUGUAAGUCCCUGUAAUGUGGCAUUGGUUUUCCUAUGAUCAUAUGUGGAGUUAAUCUAAGUCCAGAUAGAUUGGCAGUUGAC
rnacentral:lncRNA from 1 species